UACGUAGGGGGCAAGCGUUGUCCGGAAUUAUUGGGCGUAAAGAGCGCGUAGGCGGUCCGGUAAGUCAGCUGUGAAAGUCAAGGGCUCAACCCUUGAAAGCCGGCUGAUACUGCCGGACUAGAGUCCGGAAGAGGCGAGUGGAAUUCCCGGUGUAGCGGUGAAAUGCGCAGAUAUCAGGAGGAACACCGAUGGCGAAGGCAGGUCUCUGGGCCACUACUGACGCUGAGAAGCGAAAGCAUGGGGAGCGAACAGG
rnacentral:rRNA from 1 species